GAUCAUGGCUCAGGAUGAACGCUGGCGGCGUGCCUAACACAUGCAAGUCGAGCGAGAAACUUUUAAAUGAAACUUCGGUAGAUUUUAAAAGCGGAAAGCGGCGGACGGGUGAGUAACGCGUAGGCAACCUGCCCUUUGCAGAGGGAUAGCAUCGUGGAAACGGAUAUUAAAUACCCUCAUAAUACUAAACUAUCACAUGAUAGAGUAGUCAAAGAUUUAUCGGCAAAGGAUGGGCCUGCGU
rnacentral:rRNA from 1 species